rnacentral:rRNA from 1 species
GAUGAACGCUGGCGGCGUGCCUAAUACAUGCAAGUCGAGCGAACGGACGAGAAGCUUGCUUCUCUGAUGUUAGCGGCGGACGGGUGAGUAACACGUGGAUAACCUACCUAUAAGACUGGGAUAACUUCGGAAAACCGGAGCUAAUACCGGAUAAUAUUUUGAACCGCAUGAUUCAAAAGUGAAAGACGGUCUUGCUGUCACUUAUAGAUGGAUCCGCGCUGCAUUAGCUAGUUGGUAAGGUAACGGCUUACCAAGGCAACGAUGCAUAGCCGACCUGAGAGGGUGAUCGGCCACACUGGAACUGAGACACGGUCCAGACUCCUACGGGAGGCAGCAGUAGGGAAUCUUCCGCAAUGGGCGAAAGCCUGACGGAGCAACGCCGCGUGAGUGAUGAAGGUCUUCGGAUCGUAAAACUCUGUUAUUAGGGAAGAACAUAUGUGUAAGUAACUGUGCACAUCUUGACGGUACCUAAUCAGAAAGCCACGGCUAACUACGUG